ACCCCACUCCGCAGUCAGCCAGUCAGCCCAUGAGGAUAAAAACAUUCACAGGAGUAUGUAAACAUAACAGCAAAAAAUUAAGGAAGAAGCAAACAGAUAGACUGGUUCACAGAUAAACUUGUUGAAGCAGAAAAAGAAAAAAACGUGAACAUAAUAUACUCCACUAAUGGCAGCAAUGAAGCAAAAAAAAAUGGAGAAAAUUGUGGUGAUAAGGAGAAGAAGGUGAAACCUGAUAGCAGCAGAGACUUGCAGGCAGACGUUACUUGUGUAUACAGAGGUGGAAGAGACUUCGCCUUAUGCGUGUUGUAUGUUUGAAGAAAUCGCUAUAUAGGGUGUAAGGGUAUAUUGGGAAUACUUUCGAUUUAUCUUCAUCACUGAUACUCUUCUCUCCAAAUCACUCCAAUUUGAGAGGAAGAUUAGGAGAGAAGUUAAUCCUCCGAAAUCCUUUCCAUUCUUUCCGAAUCAUUCGAAAAAAUAACUCGGGAACACCAUCCACAUAAACUUUCUCUCCGGUUCCCUCCUUUUCUCUCCAAUUCGCUCCUUAAAUUAACAUUUUUUUUAUUUCGUUUUAGGGCAUGUUGGUGUGUGAAGACUAUGAGUUUCCACAGCUCUUCCACCGCAUCAUCUCUGCUUUCUUCUUCUCUAUCUUCUAUUCCACUUUACCAAUGAAAGUCGGUUUAUCUUUUUUACUUAGUCGUGCAUGGAGACGAGGCAGAACGAAAACCUAGAGGGACGAUGAAGGUCCUCUUUGCCGGUGUCGCCAGAACCGUCAGCAAUGACCGCCCCUCUCUGAGAAUCGUCGGCCUCCACCACUUCCUAUCAUCUCCGUCGUCCUUCUCUACACAUCUCAGAGUUCGCAGUUCGGUAGGCUCAUCUAUUUCACACAAAAUGGCAGAUGAAACACACACACGCACACAUAUGUCAACAGUCGGCGUCUUCGCGUUGAAGGUACGCUUUGUUUUCAGGAUGCUCAAGGAGAAUCUGAUGAAACUGGUAAAAGAGGUUCUGUUGCAUUGGGGGAGAGCGAGAUGCGAGUUUCACAGAGAAUAGGUUGUACAGAUGGAUCCUUCUUUGCAGGUGUGCCUACUGUGGGAUAUGACUGAAUAGAACUUUCAUCUUCUACAAUUUUAGGAAGUCUGAAUGGACAAACUAUUGUCAGUAAUGGAGAGCUGCUCUAGGGCUUGCUCCCUCAAGUCAACUGAUUUGAUCAUCUAACCUAAGACUAUCUGGUUGGCCCCAGUUCAAUAUCGAAUCUCACUGCAACUGGAGAAUCGGGAAAUGUUGCUUGUAGCUUACACGAAUGUGAGUAUGGAGACAUCGAAACAAGCAUGUCAAAACAACUCUAUAUUAGUAUGGUUUCGAUUUUUCGAGUGGGGAAUGUCACAUAACUUCAGAGGUAUUGGAGUUAUGAUUGUUGAUUGAAAUUUAUUCGCUUUCAUAAUGUAAGUCCACCUCCAAUGUCUGCAUUUCAAACUUCUAGUCCAUCAUAAAGGAAAAAAAUCGAGUUUCAACUUGCAACAAUUCCAAGUUCUGCGAUUGGAAGUUUGGUCCAUUACCAAGGGGAAAAAUUAAGUUACAACAAUUCUAGGUUCCAUGAUUGGAAGUUUUGAGCUUCUGCUUGUUGUAAUUGUAGGUCUUAUCGCAAUCAAAAGAGUUAUUAAGACGAAAGGAUAAUAUUCAAAUCAGGUCGAAGGAUGAAUUCACCUCUGCAGAAGUUCAAUUGAGGUGCAGAGUACAAGAAAAAGGAGGAGAGGAGAUCGGCGGACAAGCCACGUCAAGACUUGCUUUUGUGGGAGGAAACUGUUGGUUGCGACGCGUUGUUCCUGUUAACCACGUCGGACCCCGUACACUUAUCAGUGAAUGUAUAAAACGUAGCUUAAAUGCCAGGCGGAAAGGCGGUAGAACCUCCAACGUUGUAGCACCUCUACAUAAAAAUCAUUAAAAUGCGUAAAAACGCUGCACCCAUCGUUAAAAAUCGUCAGGACCGUCGCCAAUCACGUUCAUCGAAUUUCUGAUGGAAAUACUAUCAUCCUGUUCACAUUUCGUCGGAAUCCUCUGGAUUUGCCACUAAGUCGGUCGUUUUUUGUUACGACUAAUACUGUGUUAACCACCAGGAGUGUAACAUCCCAAAAUCAGCAAGAGAGUGUCUUGGAGGGCUUGUUGGUGCAUUCUUGGACUUUUGAGUGAAGAGAAAGCUUUGGGAAGAGGAGGAGUUAGAGCUCAAGCUUUUGGAUCUGAGUUUAGCAGUGGGGAAGACAUCUUUUGGAGGCGGAGACUAGACAAGUAUUACCGAGUUUGAGAUUUACUGAGUUACCCGAGAGUUUACAGAGUUAGGGCCGGAAGGUCCACAGAGUUAGGACCAGAGGGUCCACGGAGUUAUGGGACUGGAGGGUCCCACUGAUACACAUUGACCAGAGGGUCAUACAGAGUUAUAGCCUCGAGUGGCUAAUAUGUGUUGUAUGUGGUAUUUUGGAGAACUCGCUAAGCCUUUAUGCUUACCGUGUUAUGUGUUAUGUG